AUAUCAAUAAGCGGAGGAAAAGAAACCAACAGGGAUUGCCUUAGUAACGGCGAGUGAAGCGGCAACAGCCCAGAUUUGAAAUCUGGCUCUCUUGGGAGCCCGAGUUGUAAUCUGCAGAUGGGUCUUCUGGUAGAGCGCCGUCCAAGUUCCUGGAAUGGGACGCCUUAGAGGGUGAGAGCCCCGUACGGGCGGUCGCCGAGCCUAUGUGAAGCCCAUUCGACGGGUCGAGUAGUUUGGAAAUGCUGCUCUAAUUGCGGGGUAUACCUCCCGUAAGGCUAAAUACCGGCCAGAGACCGAUAGCGCACAAGUA
rnacentral:rRNA from 1 species